GCGGGUAUCGUAUAAUGGCUAUUACAACAGAUUUCCAAUCUGUGAACACGGGUUCGACUCCCGUUACCCGCUCCA
rnacentral:tRNA from 5 species